UGCUCUACCAGUCAAUCAUUCCCUAAGUUUAGUCCAGGUUCCAGGGGAGAGAAUGCAGACCCUACUUCCCCAUGGGAAAGUGUCAAUUUUAAGACAUGUUGAAAACCUUUACAAUUCAGUAUCAUAAUAAUAAAAAAAAAAACUUCAUUAGUGGCUGUGACGGUCAUUCAGUGCUGCUGAUUGUUUGAAAUUUUUGAAGAACCCUCUUUCUUAUGGCUUUGGUUUAUUUACUAUGGCUCUUAACCAUGGCUACAAGUCAUCUCUGGAAAGCACGAUAAAUCUAUCAGUCCUGG
rnacentral:lncRNA from 1 species